UUCUGGCUCAAGGAUGAACGCUAGCUACAGGCUUAACACAUGCAAGUCGAGGGGCAGCGAGAAGAAAGCUUGCUUCUUGCGGCGACCGGCGCACGGGUGAGUAACGCGUAUCCAACCUUCCCUAUAGUAGAGAAUAGCCCGGCGAAAGUCGGAUUAAUGCUCUAUGUUGUAUUUUGCGGACAUCUAACGAAUACCAAAGGUUUACCGCUAUAGGAUGGGGAUGCGUCUGAUUAGGUUGUUGGCGGGGUAACGGCCCACCAAGCCCUCGAUCAGUAGGGGUUCUGAGAGGAAGGUCCCCCACAUUGGAACUGAGACACGGUCCAAACUCCUACGGGAGGCAGCAGUGAGGAAUAUUGGUCAAUGGGCGAGAGCCUGAACCAGCCAAGUAAGCGUGCAGGAUGACGGCCCUAUGGGUUGUAAACUGCUUUUAUCAGGGGAUAAAGUCGGGGACGUGUCCCCGUUUGUAGGUACCUGAUGAAUAAGGACCGGCUAAUUCCGUGCCAGCCGCCGC
rnacentral:rRNA from 1 species